AUCUAUGGCCAUGCCGCACUGAACGUGCCCCAUCUCAUCUGAUCUCAGAAGCUAAGCAGGGUCGGGCCCGGUUAGUACUUGGAUGGGAGACCACCUAGGAAGACCAGGUGCUAUAGGCG
rnacentral:rRNA from 1 species